GGGUUGUGAGGUUAAGCGACUAAGCGUACACGGUGGAUGCCCUGGCAGUCAGAGGCGAUGAAGGGCGUGCUAAUCUGCGAUAAGCGCCGGUAAGGUGAUAUGAACCGUUAUAACCGGCGAUACCCGAAUGGGGAAACCCAGUGUGACUCGUCACACUAUCAUUAACUGAAUCCAUAGGUUAAUGAGGCGAACCGGGGGAACUGAAACAUCUAAGUACCCCGAGGAAAAGAAAUCAACCGAGAUUCCCCCAGUAGCGGCGAGCGAACGGGGAGGAGCCCAGAGCCUGAAUCAGCAUGUGUGUUAGUGGAAGCGUCUGGAAAGGCGCGCGAUACAGGGUGACAGCCCCGUACACAAAAGCACAUGUGCUGUGAGCUCGAUGAGUAGGGCGGGACACGUGGUAUCCUGUCUGAAUAUGGGGGGACCAUCCUCCAAGGCUAAAUACUCCUGACUGACCGAUAGUGAACCAGUACCGUGAGGGAAAGGCGAAAAGAACCCCGGCGAGGGGAGUGAAAAAGAACCUGAAACCGUGUACGUACAAGCAGUGGGAGCACAGGUUUACCUGUGUGACUGCGUACCUUUUGUAUAAUGGGUCAGCGACUUAUAUUCUGUAGCAAGGUUAACCGUAUAGGGGAGCCGGAGGGAAACCGAGUCUUAACCGGGCGUUAAGUUGCAGGGUAUAGACCCGAAACCCGGUGAUCUAGCCAUGGGCAGGUUGAAGGUUGGGUAACACUAACUGGAGGACCGAACCGACUAAUGUUGAAAAAUUAGCGGAUGACCUGUGGCUGGGGGUGAAAGGCCAAUCAAACCGGGAGAUAGCUGGUUCUCCCCGAAAGCUAUUUAGGUAGCGCCUCGUGAAUUCAUCUCCGGGGGUAGAGCACUGUUUCGGCUAGGGGGCCAUCCCGGCUUACCAACCCGAUGCAAACUGCGAAUACCGGAGAAUGUUAUCACGGGAGACACACGGCGGGUGCUAACGUCCGUCGUGAAGAGGGAAACAACCCAGACCGCCAGCUAAGGUCCCAAAGUCAUGGUUAAGUGGGAAACGAUGUGGGAAGGCCCAGACAGCCAGGAUGUUGGCUUAGAAGCAGCCAUCAUUUAAAGAAAGCGUAAUAGCUCACUGGUCGAGUCGGCCUGCGCGGAAGAUGUAACGGGGCUAAACCAUGCACCGAAGCUGCGGCAGCGACACUGUGUGUUGUUGGGUAGGGGAGCGUUCUGUAAGCCUGCGAAGGUGGCCUGUGAGGGUUGCUGGAGGUAUCAGAAGUGCGAAUGCUGACAUAAGUAACGAUAAAGCGGGUGAAAAGCCCGCUCGCCGGAAGACCAAGGGUUCCUGUCCAACGUUAAUCGGGGCAGGGUGAGUCGACCCCUAAGGCGAGGCCGAAAGGCGUAGUCGAUGGGAAACGGGUUAAUAUUCCCGUACUUGGUGUUACUGCGAAGGGGGGACGGAGAAGGCUAUGUUGGCCGGGCGACGGUUGUCCCGGUUUAAGCAUGUAGGCGGAACGAUUAGGUAAAUCCGGUCGUUUAUUAACGCUGAGGUGUGAUGACGAGGCACUACGGUGCUGAAGCAACAAAUGCCCUGCUUCCAGGAAAAGCCUCUAAGCAUCAGGUAACAUCAAAUCGUACCCCAAACCGACACAGGUGGUCAGGUAGAGAAUACCAAGGCGCUUGAGAGAACUCGGGUGAAGGAACUAGGCAAAAUGGUGCCGUAACUUCGGGAGAAGGCACGCUGACACGUAGGUGAAGUGAUUUACUCAUGGAGCUGAAGUCAGUCGAAGAUACCAGCUGGCUGCAACUGUUUAUUAAAAACACAGCACUGUGCAAACACGAAAGUGGACGUAUACGGUGUGACGCCUGCCCGGUGCCGGAAGGUUAAUUGAUGGGGUCAGCGCAAGCGAAGCUCCUGAUCGAAGCCCCGGUAAACGGCGGCCGUAACUAUAACGGUCCUAAGGUAGCGAAAUUCCUUGUCGGGUAAGUUCCGACCUGCACGAAUGGCGUAAUGAUGGCCAGGCUGUCUCCACCCGAGACUCAGUGAAAUUGAACUCGCUGUGAAGAUGCAGUGUACCCGCGGCAAGACGGAAAGACCCCGUGAACCUUUACUAUAGCUUGACACUGAACAUUGAGCCUUGAUGUGUAGGAUAGGUGGGAGGCUUUGAAGUGUGGACGCCAGUCUGCAUGGAGCCAACCUUGAAAUACCACCCUUUAAUGUUUGAUGUUCUAACGUGGACCCGUAAUCCGGGUUGCGGACAGUGUCUGGUGGGUAGUUUGACUGGGGCGGUCUCCUCCUAAAGAGUAACGGAGGAGCACGAAGGUUGGCUAAUCCUGGUCGGACAUCAGGAGGUUAGUGCAAUGGCAUAAGCCAGCCUGACUGCGAGCGUGACGGCGCGAGCAGGUGCGAAAGCAGGUCAUAGUGAUCCGGUGGUUCUGAAUGGAAGGGCCAUCGCUCAACGGAUAAAAGGUACUCCGGGGAUAACAGGCUGAUACCGCCCAAGAGUUCAUAUCGACGGCGGUGUUUGGCACCUCGAUGUCGGCUCAUCACAUCCUGGGGCUGAAGUAGGUCCCAAGGGUAUGGCUGUUCGCCAUUUAAAGUGGUACGCGAGCUGGGUUUAGAACGUCGUGAGACAGUUCGGUCCCUAUCUGCCGUGGGCGCUGGAGAACUGAGGGGGGCUGCUCCUAGUACGAGAGGACCGGAGUGGACGCAUCACUGGUGUUCGGGUUGUCAUGCCAAUGGCACUGCCCGGUAGCUAAAUGCGGAAGAGAUAAGUGCUGAAAGCAUCUAAGCACGAAACUUGCCCCGAGAUGAGUUCUCCCUGAGACUUAAAGUCUCCUGAAGGAACGUUGAAGACGACGACGUUGAUAGGCCGGGUGUGUAAGCGCAGCGAUGCGUUGAGCUAACCGGUACUAAUGAACCGUGAGGCUUAACCUUACAACGCCGAAGGUGUUU
rnacentral:rRNA from 1 species